CUCAAAUCAAGUAGGACUACCCGCUGAACUUAAGCAUAUCAAUAAGCGGAGGAAAAGAAACUAACAAGGAUUCCCCUAGUAACGGCGAGUGAAGCGGGAAGAGCUCAAAUUUGAAAUCUGGUGGCCUCAGGUCAUCCGAGUUGUAAUCUAUAGAAGUGUUUUCCGUGCUGGCUCAUGUACAAGUCCCUUGGAACAGGGCGUCAUAGAGGGUGAGAAUCCCGUCCUUGACAUGAACUACCAGUGCUCUGUGAUACAUUUUCAACGAGUCGAGUUGUUUGGGAAUGCAGCUCAAAAUGGGUGGUAAAUUCCAUCUAAAGCUAAAUAUUGGCGAGAGACCGAUAGCGAACAAGUACCGUGAGGGAAAGAUGAAAAGCACUUUGGAAAGAGAGUUAAACAGUAUGUGAAAUUGUUGAAAGGGAAACGAUUGAAGUCAGUCGUGCUCUUUGGAUUCAGCCGGUUCUGCCGGUGUACUUCCUUUGAGUGGGGUCAACAUCAGUUUUGAUCGCUGGAUAAAGGCUGGAGGAACGUAGUACCCUCGGGUAAACUUAUAGCCUCCUGUCACAUACAGUGGUUGGGACUGAGGAACGCAGCACGCCUUUAUGGCCGGGAUCGU
rnacentral:rRNA from 1 species